rnacentral:rRNA from 1 species
GACGAACGCUGGCGGCGUGCUUAACACAUGCAAGUCGAACGCCCCGGCCCUGCUUUUGUGGGGUGCUCGAUUGCCGAUCGGGUGAUUAACACUUGUUUAACCUGCCUUCGACUUUGGGAUAACUUUAGGAAACUAGGGCUAAUACCGCAUAGUAUCUCCUCCUGCAUUGUGGGCGCUUGAAAUUUUCUGCUGUUUGGGUUAGACUCGCGGCUUAUCAGCUUGUUGUUGGGGUAGUGGCUUACCAAGGCUUUGAAGGGUAGCCGGCCUGAGAGGAUGACUGGACAAAUUACGACUGAGAUACGACCCAGACUCCUACACGAGGCAGCAGUGCAGAAUAUUGCACAAUAGAAGGAAGCCAAAUCCAGCAACGCCGCGUCCGGGAUGACAGCAUUCGGGUUGUAAACCAAUUUCCCCUUUUACGAAAAGAGAAUGACGGUAAUGGAUAAAUAAGCACCGGCUAACUACGUG